UGUGAAAAUAUUGAUGUUUUAAUAAAGGCUGUGAUAAAAUGUUUUUAAAUUAAAUUAAUUGUUGCGCUGCGUAUAUCGUGCUGUUCGCGUAUACAUGUUCUGUGUACGAUCACUGUGCCGUUUACCUGUGUUGUUUUUGUACACGUGAGUAUGUUGUCACAUGUCACUUGUCUUACCUUGUUACGUCCAUAUAAGGUAAUUGUUCUAAAUAUAGGUGUUACCUCGUUUUCGUUAGUGGUCAGUCCAGUUGUCUUUGUUACAUGUUUUGGCGCGGUUUUUAGUACUCAUUCAUAGACAGAGCUAAAGGGUGGAUGUAAUUUAUAUCCAGAGGUUUGAGUCUUGAAGUCUUUCUCUAGAUCUGAGAUGAUAGUUUUCGAUUGAGAACGCGCGGAUACAGAUCUUCAUUCGUGUAAACCCCCGACCCAUAGUUGGGGGUUUUUUGAUUAUGUUCCACAUAUUGUGGGAAUAAACCGGUAAACAAGAAAUCUGCGUCGACCUUGACUUUUCAUUCAACUUUACAUGUGUCCAGUACAAGCGUCUGACUGCGAAUUAAUAUGUGUACAGUACAAUGGCCUAAACAGUGGAAUAUGUA